GAGAUCUUAUCUUAAUAAAAGUAUUUGAGUUGCAUUCAGAAGAUGAGGGUUGAUGUCCUUCAGGUCUUA
rnacentral:tRNA from 1 species